rnacentral:tRNA from 1 species
CCAUCGUUGUUGAUUCAACUAUAAAAAC